GCUCCGGUGGCCUAGUGGUUUUAAGGCGUCGUACUUAUAAGGAUGAACUCUUUAUGCCAUGCGAAAUACGCGGGUUCGAUCCCCGCCCGGAGCA